rnacentral:rRNA from 1 species
GUAGGGUGCAAGCGUUAAUCGGAAUUACUGGGCGUAAAGCGUGCGCAGGCGGUUUUGUAAGUCUGACGUGAAACGCCCCCGGGGGCUCAACCUGGGAAUUGCGUUGGAGACUGCAAGGCUUGAAUCUGGCAGAGGGGGUAGAAUUCCACGUGUAGCAGUGAAAUGCGUAGAGAUGUGGAGGAACACCGAUGGCGAAGGCAGCCCCCUGGGUCAAGAUUGACGCUCAUGCACGAAAGCGUGGGGAGCAAACAGGAUUAGAUACCCUGGUAGUCCACGCCCUAAACGAUGUCUACUAGUUGUCGGGUCUUAAUUGACUUGGUAACGCAGCUAACGCGUGAAGUAGACCGCCUGGGGAGUACGGUCGCAAGAUUA